UACGGGGGGUGCAAGCGUUAUCCGGAUUUACUGGGUUUAAAGGGUGUGUAGGCGGGCUUUUAAGUCAGUGGGGAAAUCUCCGGGCUCAACCUGGAAACUGCCAUUGAUACUAUUAGUCUUGAAUUUUGUUGAGGUAGGCGGAAUAAGUCAUGUAGCGGUGAAAUGCAUAGAUAUGACUUAGAACACCAAUUGCGAAGGCAGCUUGCUAAACAAAUAUUGACGCUGAGGCACGAAAGCGUGGGGAUCAAACAGG
rnacentral:rRNA from 1 species